rnacentral:rRNA from 1 species
CCUGGUUGAUCUUGCCAGUAGUCAUAUGCUUGUCUCACAGAUUAAGCCAUGCAAGUGAAAGUACAUAUGUAAGUAAUAUAUUGAAACUGCGAACGGCUCAUUAAAACAGUUAUAAUCUACUUGAUGUUUUUAAUAUAAGGAUAACUACGGAAAAUCUGUAGCUAAUACUUGUGAAAAUACCUUUUGAUAUAUACAUAUGUAUGUAUCAUUAAGGUAUGUAUUUGUUAGAUAUAAGAAUAAAAUAAAUAUAAUUGAAUUAUAACAAAGAAGAAACACAUAAAAUAUGUGUAUUAUCAAUCGAGUAUCUGACCUAUCAGCUUUUGAUGUUAGGGUAUUGACCUAACAUGGCUAUGACGGGUAACGGGGAAUUAGAGUUCGAUUCCGGAGAGGGAGCCUGAGAAAUAGCUACCACAUCUAAGGAAGGCAGCAGGCGCGUAAAUUACCCAAUUCUAAAAAAGAGAGGUAGUGACAAGAAAUAACAAUACAAUAUCGAAAAAUGAUUUUGUAAUUGGAAUGAUAGGAAUUUACAAGGUUCCUAGAGAAACAAUUGGAGGGCAAGUCUGGUGCCAGCAGCCGCGGUAAUUCCAGCUCCAAUAGCAUAUAUUAAAAUUGUUGCAGUUAAAACGUUCGUAGUUGAAUAUUAAAGAAUCCGAUGUUUCAUUUAAACUGGUUUGGGAAAACCAAAUAUAUUAUAUAUUUUGCUUUGUUCAAAAUAAGGUUUUCUAAUAAAUUAUGUUUUUAUCAGAUAUGACAGAAUCUUUUUUAAAAUCUCUUCAAUAUGCUUUUAUUGCUUUUGAGAGGUUUUGUUACUUUGAGUAAAAUUAAGUGUUCAUAACAGACGGGUAGUCAUGAUUGAGUUCAUUGUGUUUGAAUACUACAGCAUGGAAUAACAAAUAUGAAUAAGCUAAUUAUUUUUUUUUUUCAUUAUUUUUUUUGAUAUUCUUAUUAGCUUAGUUACGAUUAAUAGGAGUAGCUUUGGGGGCAUUCGUAUUCAGAUGUCAGAGGUGAAAUUCUAAGAUUUUCUGGAGACGGACUACUGCGAAAGCAUUUGCCUAAUCUAUUUCCAUUAAUCAAGAACGAAAGUUAAGGGAGUGAAGACGAUCAGAUACCGUCGUAAUCUUAACCAUAAACUAUACCGACUAGGUGUUGGAUGAAUAUAAAAAAUAUAUAAAUAUGUAGCAUUUCUUAGGGAAUGUUGAUUUUAUAUUAGAAUUGCUUCCUUCAGUACCUUAUGAGAAAUCAAAGUCUUUGGGUUCUGGGGCGAGUAUUCGCGCAAGCGAGAAAGUUAAAAGAAUUGACGGAAGGGCACCACCAGGCGUGGAGCUUGCGGCUUAAUUUGACUCAACACGGGAAAACUCACUAGUUUAAGACAAGAGUAGGAUUGACAGAUUAAUAGCUCUUUCUUGAUUUCUUGGAUGGUGAUGCAUGGCCGUUUUUAGUUCGUGAAUAUGAUUUGUCUGGUUAAUUCCGAUAACGAACGAGAUCUUAACCUGCUAAUUAGCGGUAAGUACACUAUAUUUUUAUUUGAAAUUGAAUAUAGGUAAUUAUACAUGUUUAUUCAGUGUUCAAAUUAGGAUAUUUUUUUUAUUAAAAUAUUCUUUUCCCUGUUCUACUAUAAUAAUUUGUUUUUUUUUACUCUAUUUCUCUCUUCUUUUAAGAAUGUACUUGUUUGAUUAAAUAAAGCUUCUUAGAGGAACAGUGUGUAUCUAACACAAGGAAGUUUAAGGCAACAACAGGUCUGUGAUGUCCUUAGAUAAACUAGGCUGCACGCGUGCUACAAUGAUAUAUAUAACAAGUUGUUAAAAAUGUACUUAUAAAUAAGUGUGUACAAUUUUUCCUGUACUGAAAAGUAUAGGUAAUCUUUAUCAGUAUAUAUCGUAAUUGGGAUAGAUUAUUGCAAUUAUUAAUCUUGAACGAGGAAUGCCUAGUAAGCAUGAUUCAUUAGAUUGUGCUGACUACGUCCCUGCCCUUUGUACACACCGCCCGUCGCUCCUACCGAUUGAAAGAUAUGAUAAAUUGUUUGGAUAUGAAUUAAAAUAAUGAAAUUUUAUAUUUCUGAUUUUUUCUAGAAGAACUGUAAAUCCUAUCUUUUAAAGGAAGGAGAAGUCGUAACAAGGUUUCCGUAGGUGAACCUGCGGAAG